rnacentral:rRNA from 1 species
UACAGAGGUCUCAAGCGUUGUUCGGAUUCAUUGGGCGUAAAGGGUGCGUAGGUGGUGCCGUAAGUCGGAUGUGAAAUCUCGGAGCUCAACUCCGAAACUGCAUUCGAUACUGCGGUGCUGGAGGACUGGAGAGGAGAUCGGAAUUCACGGUGUAGCAGUGAAAUGCGUAGAUAUCGUGAGGAAGACCAGUGGCGAAGGCGGAUCUCUGGACAGUUCCUGACACUGAGGCACGAAGGCCAGGGGAGCAAACGGG